UGCCAAUGAUGCAUUAUAUUUGCACGUAUUAUCAGAAAAAAAUAGUUGAUGAUAAACAAAUAUUGUCACUACCUCUGAGGCA
rfam:Helianthus annuus linkage group 17, whole genome shotgun sequence.